rnacentral:lncRNA from 1 species
CAACCCAGGCCCUAAAUGAAUUCGUGGAUGAAAAAGGGAAUAAAGGUUUGAGACUCGAGCUUACUAAGCAGCUGCUGCUAUCAUUUGACUGUUGGGCCACUAAGGGUCACAGUGGCCCCCCUCCUGGCCCUGGAAGGCUAGGCCCACAGCUGUCCUCUCAGAAUUCCAUUUCCUGGGGACCCUGGUGCUGGGAGCCCCACCCCCCAAGCCUGUCCCUUCCAGCGGCUGACCUUGGGCAAGUCCCUUUUCUCCUCUGAGCCUCAGUUUCCCCAUCCACCCAAGGGGAAACUUGAUCUAUGUGUCAGGGGUUCAGUAAAUUGAGAUUCCCAAGGGGGCUGGUGGGAUGGACCAGACUGGGGUCCCAAGCUGAGAGUAGCCUGAAAGAGCAAAUUCUAAAAUUCGGUUUCCUUUGGUCAAAAUAUGGAAAUGACUUUAAAAGUACAAGAGGACCUGAGGUUCUCAUGUUUAUCUGAAGGGGGCUCACCAGUAAGGGGUGAGCAGGGCCCCCUGACUCAAAGGGCAUGAGUGCCCUGGCCAGAGGCCGGCCCGGAGGACAUGCAGGCAGAGCCACCCCGCCCUCGGGUGCUGGCCGCAGCCAUCCUGGCACAGCCAGCCUGGGGUUGGUGACAAUCACGUCCCGGGAACUUCUGCCAGAGGGGGACAGCUGGGGAGGAGGAGGAGGCAGAGGGACAGCUGGCUCCAGGGCUCAGGCUGAGUCAUCCUCCGGGGCCGUGGUCUACACGAGUCAGGGGAGAGGGCUGUUUCCAGAGGGAGAGGAGGCAGCAGCGGGGAAGGCAUCCUGGGGCUGUGCCUGGACCGAUCAGCAGGAAAGGACAGACAGCCAGGGCCAGACUGCCACCUAGGGGAGGGUAGCCCCCUUCCCCAGUCUGCCGGCCCCCGCCCCCCACCUGCCGGGCCCAUUUCUUUUCUUCCCUCUGAUCCUGGUACCUGGUGACCAGACCCGGUGCCUCCUCUGGGCCCUCCACACCCUCAAACUCCCCCAUGCUCUCAGCCUCCCUCCCACUCCCUGGCCCCCAGGCCCUUGAAGCUGUCAGGCAACUCUGGGCUCCAGGCCACAGAGGGUGGCCUGGGGUCUCUGGAGCCAGAGAGACAUAGCCCAAAUCCUCCCACCAUUUCUGAGCUGGGUGACCUUGGGUAAGUUACUUGACCACUCUGAGCUGCAGUUCCCUUACUGUGAAAUGGGGAGAACACCGUCUUACUGCCCAAGGCUUCAAAAGGAGGUAUCCCGGGUCUUGCCCUUCCAUUAUGGAACCCGCCACAAUAGGCAAAUCUACAGAGACAGGAAGGAGAUGCGUGGGGGCCUGGGGCAGAGGAGGGGGAAGGGAGCGACCGCUGAGAGGUGAGGGUUCUUUCCGGGUGAUGAGAAUGUGGAUACUCUGGGAAGUGACCGAAGCCACCGAGCCGUGCGCUUUAGAUGGAGAACGGAGCCUCCGAGGUCCUGCGAGUGUCCAGCCAGUGUCCGGGGGGUAUAACCUUAGCGGGCUUGCAUAGGAGCAGUGAUGACAAGGCUACCGGAACCUGAGCUCCCCGACCCCCACCCCACCCCCACGGAGACUCGGAUCCACUGCGAGUGACUCAACAGAAGCGGCCCUGCCCCCAUCCCGUCCAACUGGCGUCCACAGGUGGGGAGAGGACAGAGCUCCCAGAAGCCGGAUGAGAGGAGUUGCUCCGGGUCACGAGCUUGGCAUUUCCCAGCUCCACCUCCGUGUCCACUCACCUCCAAGGUCAGCCUCUGCAGAGCCACACAACCUGUGGGAGGGACCCCUCCAAGCCCCAGGGGGUUGGCAAGGAGGACUGGGAUGGGACAGCAGCCACCGUGUGGUGCAGCAGUGAAUCCUACGGCCCCCACCUGCCAGGGAGCGAGUCUGGGCUCUGCCGGUGUGAUGCUGGGUGAGAAAACAGGCCCAGAGAAGGUGGGUCCCUGCCCAGGCUCACACAGCUACGGAGCAGUAGAAGCUGGGAUUUGAAACUGAGCCCCAAGACAGAUUCGUGUUGACAGAUGUAUAAACUGAAUACUGACCCUCCAGAGAGAUCCACGCCCUAAUCCCGGGAACCCCUGUGAAUGUCACCUCCCGAUGGCAAAGGGAUUCUGCAGAUGGGAAGAAGUGAAGGAUCUUGAGAUGGGAACAUUAUCCCCGAUUAUCCAGCUAUAAGUCCCGGGAUCUUCCAGCUCAACCAGCCCAUUUUACCGACGACGUGGAGCCUGAGGCCAGAGUUAGGGGUCAACUUGCCCCGUCCCACCGAGAUGAGUGGCGGGAGGGUGCUGUCUCCUGGCACGUCCUGGGGGUCCUUGCUCUGCUCUUCUGGACUCCAGCCCUGGGCAGCCUGGGCGAAAUCGUCUAGUCCAAACCCAUUUUCCGAGUGAGGAAACUGAGGCCUGGAGUUGUCCGAGAGUUGCACUCGAGUCCCUAAGUGACAGGGGAUGUGCAGGCCCUGAAUCCCCAGGGAGUCCUCUCGGCAAGGCCCUCCCCUCCCCAUCUGGAGCGCCGCUCCUCCCCGUGUAUCCCCAGCAGACAGGGGCCAGCGGGGUCUGGGAAAACCACAUCAGGAGCGGCCCAGCUGUGGUGCAGGAAUUCGAGAGCAGCUCCUUAGUGGCCUCCAGCCUGGGAAAGCUCUGAGGCCUUCCUGUCCCCGCCCGCCUUGCCGCUUAGGGCCAGCCCUGUCCCCAAGGCUGUGAGAAGUCGCCUGGAGGCAGUGUCCAGUGGGGUGGAGGAAAGAGCGGCCUAGAAUGGAGGGACUUGAUCCCCGAUCCUAAGCCAGUUAGUGACAUUAUCCUGGAUUAUCCUAAACCGAGCUCAGGGCCCUGGGCUUGUCUAGGGGAGCAUAGGUCUCCCUGCCCCCGGCAUGUGGGGGUUCCAGUGGUGCCUUAACACCCAGCGACACAGGCCCACAGCCAAGAAGGCACAGUUCUUACAUAAAGCAUUCAUACCCACUGGCACCCUCAGACCUCACAACAGCCCUGUAACGGCGAGGCUGCUGCUGUCCCAUUUUACAGAUGGAGAAACUGAGGCUCGGAGAGAGAAAGGGACUCUCCCCAAGUCAAGGUCCUGUGGUGGCAGCACUGGGACUCUGCUAACUCCGUGAGCUCUCGCGAUGACCCUGGACUCGUCUCUGGCAAUUCGGUCCCAGGCUUGCUGUGGGGCCUUGAGUAAUCUCCCUCUCUGAGCCUCGACUCUCCUCUGUGAACUAGGACAUAAUAAUAGUAUCCACCUCACUGGGGCGCCUGCAGAAUCAGGGAGUGCGUGAGCCCCGCGCCUGGCACGCGGUGAGCGCUCCAUCUUCGCUCACCCUCAUCACCAUCACACUACCCGAUUGGAUAACCGCAAAUACUACUGCUGGGGGAAGACGCCAAUAAACACACAGGUCCUGCGGGAGGUGAAGGAGUGACCACGAGAGCAAGGAGGGGGCUGCCUGGCAUAUUCAAGCAACACUGAAGAGGCCAGUGUGGUCCUAGGGGGUUAGAGACAGGGCAGUGGCAGGAGGAGAAACCAGAGAGGUGGGGGGUGGGGCAGAGUCACAGACCACGGUGGCCAUUGGGUGGACGUCAGCUUUCCUUGAGCCAAGUGGGGAGCCAUCGCAAGGUGUCCUCAUUGUCCACUAAACGCUCAAAGCCUGCAAUGGGCCCUUAGACCCUGGGUCACUGUCUGAGGAGUGGAAUGGCCACCCGCUAGCUAACCACCCUCCUCCGCCCAGGACCCGCCCACGGCCCCUCCCCCUCCCUGCGAUGCUCCAGAACCCUGAGAAUCAGGUGGUCCUAAAGUGUCAGCGCUCAGAGGGAGCUUGGAGGCCAUUUGGCUCCAAUUACAGAUGAAGAAAGGAGGCUGGGACGCGGAGGGGAAGGGGCUUGUCCGGGGCCUCUCAGCACAUCCGCGGCUGUGCCAGCUGUGACGCCCAAGGCUCCUGCCUCCUGGAGCAGGGCCCCUCCCGCUGCAGAGCCCUCGGUGAACGGGACGUUUUGUUCUUCUGGCCCAGAUCCAAGGAGUCUCCAGGGACACACUCUGGUUUGCCUUUGCCAAAGGCCUCGCCAGCUAAGGGUCCCUUCUAGGCUGCCAUCUCUGGCAGAAGCUGCGCCCUCCUGGGGCCAGCCUCCCGCCUGCACCGGCAUUGAGGAGUCCGUGUGCAUGUGAGGAUGGGGACCCUGUGCAGCUCCUCAUCCCAGUCACCCUGCUCCCAGGGCUUCUAUUCCAAGCACAGACAUCGAAACACAAUAAGCAGCCACUCACUGCCCACUUCUGGGGUCACCCUGUUGGAGCAAUAAGCUCCUGACCUCUCUCCCCACCCCGUGGAUGUUCAUGGUGGUUCUGUAGCUGCCACUGCCAGCUCCUCAGCUGCAGUUCAAGGGGAGGGAACACCAGCCAUUCAUCCACUCUCUGAUCUUCCAUUCAUUCAUCUCUCUAUUUUCUUGCCCAUUGGUCCGUGCAUUCAUCCAUACACCCACCUAUCCAAUUGCCCCACCCACAUAUCUAGCCUUCCAUCCAUCCAUCCAUCCAUCCAUCCAUCUAUCCAUCCACUGAUCUGAACAGCCACCAGUCUGUCUGAUUGUUACUGGUCCAUCAUCUCAUCCAUCCGACCCAUCCAUCCAUCCAUCCAUCUAUCCAUCCAUUCAUCCAUCCUAUGCUCUUUCUCUUACACCUAUUGUUUGCCCAAAAACCUCUCUCUCUGCCUGUGCGUUGGUCUACAUAUCCAUCAUCCACCUAUCCCCUUACCAACUUCCCUGCCCUUCCGUCCAUUCCCUCACCUUCCUCCCAUCCAUCCAUCUCCCCACUCCACUCCCACUGCUCUGCCAACCAACCUGUCAGCCUGUCUCUUGGUCCAUCUACCCCUUCAUGCAACGUUCAUGGAGGCAUAUCCUGUGGGACUCAGCGUUGUAACUAUAGCACCUACAGUAAUAGCUGCCACUUACUGGACGCUUGUUUUAUGCCAGACACUCUACCUACGUUCUCACUUAAUCCUCACAACAACCUGUCGUCGUUUGACAGAUGAGGGAACAUGCUGGAUGGCCUCAAUUAGACAACUGUCAAAUUGUUUCAUUCCAAGAGCAGCUUUACAAGAUAGAUGCUGUCAUCAUUUUGCAGAUGUGGAAACUGGCCAUGCAAUUUGCCUGAAGUCACAGCAGUAACGAAGGACAGGAUUUGGACCUAAGUGUUCUGACUCCGAGUUCCGUCCUCCUUCCUUCUGACCACCGCCGCCUGAGACCCGAUGGCCAGACCUUGCUGCCCCGGUGUGUGACUGUGUGUGUCAGUCAACCUCGGGCCUCAGUUUCCUUGCCUGUGCAAGAGGGGGCUGUGGGAGUGGCUGCUGACUUCCUUCCUUUCUUCCUCUGUCUCCUUCUCAUGAAGAGCCACGCAGGACUGGGAGAUGAGCUGGGCCAGGUGAACCUCUGAGAUCCAGCCUUGGACAUGGCUUGGCCCAGUGUGAACCCGCGGAUGACCCCAUUUCACUGGCUUGCUCCACAAAUAUCCUUCACUGAGUGUGUACCGCCUCAGGGCACAGCCCCGGGGACUCCGUUCCUCACCUCUGCUUCAGGGCAGGCAACCCAGCCAGGGGGAAGGGUGCAGCCCCGCAAGAAGAGGAGAGUCACGUCUGCUGCCAGCUUGCUGUGAGAUCUCGACAUUUCCCUCAGUUUUCUCAUCUGCCCAACGGGCUAGCAGCACCCGCCUCGGAGGAGCAAGUGAAAUAUGUGAUGUGAACACGCUCACCACGCCCUCUCCUCUCCCUUGCUUCUGUGCAAUAACAGGGCUGGGCUCGUGCAGAGGUCCCAAGGCGGGUUCGUGGCUGGACUUCAGGAGCAGGAGCCCCCGAAACCACAGGCGGUGUUUGUGUGUGCACGUGCAGUCUUCACCAAGAAGGCCUGUGACUUUCAUUAGAUUCUCAAAAGGCCCAUGACUUAGUUGCUAAUGAUAAUAAUCACUAAUUGAGUGCGGACUUCGAGCCAGCACCUGUAAGUGCUCGGUGCUUAGUACACCUUACUUCAUUUAAUUCUUAGUAGACGGUAGAUGGAAUAGUGAUUGAGCUCAGGAACUCUAGAGCCUCAUUGUCUGGGAUCAAAUCCUGGCUCCAUUGCUUCCCAGCUGUGUGGCCUUGGACAAUGACCUAACCACUCGGUGCCUCAGUUUCCUCAGAUCUAAAUUAGAUGACAAAGCUAUUUGCUUCAUAGGGUUGUUUUGAGGAGUAAAUACAGGAACAGAGCUUAGAACCAUACCUGUCCCUAAGCAAGAGCUCAGUAAAUACUGUCUUAAAGUAGAUGAGGAAAUGGAGGCUCAGAGAGGUCAAGGAACUUGUCUACAGUCAACCAGCUGGGAAAGAGCCCAGAUUCUAAGCCUGGUGGUCUGACACUGGAGCCCUUGCAUUUAAUGGAUAUGCUCACUGUGUGUUCUUGAAAAGACCCUGACUUCAUCCCACAUGCACCCUAAUUCUUACAUUCAAGGCUCUAGAUUUUACUGACAAGGGAGAGGUUCUGGCCACACUGGUCUCCAAGGUUCCCUGACAUUCUGAUACUUGAGACUUCCACUGUGCGAGUCCCCCCAGCAGGCUGACAGGCCUCCAGAGGAGCUGCAGAGAAAGAGCGAGAGAGCACGUGUGGGCACCUGAACGUGUGCACAUCCCCUUCCCGUGCCCCCCCCCCCCCCAGCCUCCACAGGGUGCAGCUCCCAGGCCUCCCUGCACAGCCUCCCAGGAGAGGCGCCCCCGCAGACUCCGCUCCCUCCCGGCGCCAUGUGACACUGGCGGGUGGUGUGGGAGGGAGGAGGAGAUGAGCUCGUCACUGGCUGACAGCUCUCCCUCUGGGGCAGGGAGCUCCCUGGCUGCAACCCUACCCCAGAUGGCUUUUAACAGAAGAGGAAACAGAGAAGUGCUUUGCUGGGCCACUUCCUGGCUUAGCAGGACCUGGGCAAGCAUCACUUCUCAGGGCCUCGUUCUGCUCAUUCAUAAAAUAAGGACAAUUGCUCCUAUGCCACUGGGCUGUGGCGGACACGACAGGAGAAAAGGCAUGUGUGUAAAAUACCCAGCCUCACAGACUCCACACUCUCAGGUCCUCUCCAUCCUGUUCCCCUCUGGAGGAAGAAGGGGACUCCUGGUCUGAGACCAGAAGUGGCAUCCUUUAGCAUCUUGUCUCAGGGACGGGAGUUCAGCUGAGGCAAUGGCUGGAGACCUGGUGUGGGCUGGGUUGGCCUGUGCAGGUGACGAAGCCACAGGUACUUGAUAUCAGCAAAAUGGCCCAGCACAACUCGAUCUGUGGCCUCCUGGAGCUGAGCGAAUGAGCUCCCUUCUCCAACAGACCUCAGGCUCCACUUUGUUCAACUGAGUCUCCAAGAACUCCACCAGCCGUACCAUCCUGUGGGCUGGGUGGCUAUCUCAAAGCGCACACGGCCAGAGGGUGGCAGUGGGGGAGCCUUCUCCCUACUCUGCAUAUUUGCUUUCCAACAAAUACCUUUUAGAGCACCGACUACAUGCUAGGUGCCAGGUUCUAGGUGCUGGGGGUACGGCAAUGAACAUGAGACUGUAGGAAGCUGAUAUUCCGGCGCGGACAGUCAGACUGCACACGGCAGGUAGUGAGGAGUUUGUGCUUAGUGCCGUUGAGUCGAUUCCAACUCCUAGCGACCCCGUGUAGAGCAGAGCAGAGCAGACGCCUGCCCAUCUUUUUGCGCCAUCCUCUCAUCCUCUGGCACUGUUUCAGAUGAUGCUCUGCUGCUAUUCACAGCGUUAUCAUGGCCAAUUUUUUCAGAAGUGGGUGGCCGGGUCCUUCUUCCCAGUCUGUCUUAGUCUGGAAGCUCCGCCGAAACCUGUCCAUCACGGGUGACCCUGCUGGUAUCUGAAAUACCAGUGACAUAGCUUUCAGCAUCACAGCAACAUGCAGCUGCCACAGUAUGACACCCAACAGGCGGGUGAUGUGGUUCCCUGACCAGGAAACGAACCCGGGCCCCGGCAGUGAGAGCACUGGCUCUUAACCACCAGACACCAGGGCUGGCUAGUGAUAAGCACUGUGAAGGACCACAAAGCAGACGGAGGAGACGUGGAGGGACCGGGUGCUCAUUAGGCCGAGGGUCAGAGAAGGCCUCCUCCAUGGGAGACAUCUGAGCAGGACCAGAGGAGCCAGGUGGGGGCCACGUGAGGAUCUGGGGCAAGAGCAUUCUGGGCAGAGGUCAACUGCAAGGCGCUGAGUCUCCAACUGCCUGUCAGGAUUGAGAAUCGUCAAGAAGUCCCCGGGGCUGUGCGCAGUGAGCCGGGCGGUGGGAGGACGCGCAUGGGGGGAGAGUGGAAAAGGUGGGGGCAGGGGAGGUGAUAAGGAAUUUGGCUUGGGGUCCUGAGCUUGAAGGGCUGGUGAGGAGUCUGCAGGCCCAGCCUUGCCUGCCCAGGCUGGGGAGAGGGGACACAUUUUGUGGGGUCAGUCCUCUGAGACCCCAGAUCCCCACAGUAAGCCACUUGGACCUAGCGCCUGCACAAGAACACGCUCUUGAAAUUCUGGGUUCAGCCUAAGAGCCUUCAAGCACCAGCGGCUCAUCUGGGCCAGCCUCCUUUGCUCACAUAAGCCCACAUGGCGGAUAAAGAAAUUGAGGCUCAGAGGGGAGAAAUGACCUCCCCGGGGACACCCAGCCCCCGAGUGCGUCUGCAUCCUGAGAUGCGCUCUUCCCACUUUGGCAUACUGCAGCCCUCUUUCAAAAUGAUGUUUGUGAACAUUAGUCUCAGUAAAGACAGCUAAAAAGCAUGGGUUGGAGAUGUUUUUAGCUGCCUGUAAGCCAGAUAAAAGGUUCUGUUGUUGCAAAAAUGCUCUUCUUGUGUAUGCUAUAAGCAUCCAUCAAUUUCCGAAAUUAUCCAGCCUCCCUAACGAGAAAUGACGGGCGCUUUCUGAAUUUGAGAUGAAGAGGGUUUUUUUUGGUUGUUGGUGGUGGUUUACUCAUAUCAGACUCUUUUCCUGCCCUGAGUGUAAUAUCCUAAGUUUCAGGGAGGCAGAGGCUGUUUUUUUUU